CAGGGAUCAAGUAGAAAAGUAACGUUAAAAAAAAAGCUUUAUUGAUUCGGUUAUAUGAAAUGAUCCCCUUUGCAGCACGGUUUACACUAAGCCUCCAAAUCUGACAUGUCUUUGAAAGCCCUCUUAAUAUAUCCAAUUAUAGAUUUUCAGCAACUUUGUGGAAUGUCGGCUUUCCCGGCGACUGACCCCGGAAAACACCAUUGAAAUCAGGAGGGAUUUUGCUAUUGAGCUCAGUGGGGGAGGAUCAGGUCCUACAUAAUUUUAUUGUCAGCAAUGAUGACCUCUCUUCACAAAUGAAGAAUACCCAUCCUGAACCAUGGCCUUCGGAACGUAAACCAUUUAUUUUUAUAGCUGGAUCCUUCCCCAAGUGGGAUAUUUUGUGCAUGGUUAACUUAUCCCAGGGCUUUAAAUGCUUGCCAAGUGGCUUUAAUAGCAGGAUGUUGUUUAAAAAGAUUGGGAAGGAUUGUGGGCAGUAAUAGAGAUAAUUGCCAAGGAGAGAUAAAUGAAUCUUCAAUCUCAAACCAACUUGGCUUUAUCAUUGGGUCAGGAGGGAAGAUCCAGAAAAAUCCCCUGUCUAAGACUAAAUGCGUAAUGAUAGUUUGGGAUUUAGGGAAGUUGGCAGCUGUUGAGAUUUUUUGAUAAAAACAUCAUUUGAGGCUUAAUACAGGUUUGUAAUUCCAUAUAAAGGCAUGAAAGCCCCUUUUCACUCCAGGGAUUUGGCAUCACGGAAUAAAAAAGCUGGAGGUGAAUUUUUGGGAGAGGAGCAGACAGCAAAUGACACCCUGAAGUGAGAGCUUUGCGGACUGCACCAGGGUAGUGAAACUGCGUGUGAAGGGGCUGGGUGCAGAGCCAAGCAGACCCUAUAUCCUCAGCUAUGGGAGAUAACACAGAG